AUUGAACGCUGGCGGCAUGCCUUACACAUGCAAGUCGAACGGCAGCACGGGUGCUUGCACCUGGUGGCGAGUGGCGAACGGGUGAGUAAUACAUCGGAACGUACCUUAUCGUGGGGGAUAACGCAGCGAAAGCUGUGCUAAUACCGCAUACGCCCUGAGGGGGAAAGCGGGGGAUCGCAAGACCUCGCGCGAUUAGAGCGGCCGAUGCCUGAUUAGCUUGUUGGUGGGGUAAAAGCCCACCAAGGCGACGAUCAGUAGCUGGUCUGAGAGGACGAUCAGCCACACGGGGGCUGAGACACGGCCCAGACUCCUACGGGAGGCAGUAGUGGGGAAUUUUGGACAAUGGGGGCAACCCUGAUCCAGCAAUGCCGCGUGAGUGAAGAAGGCCUUCGGGUUGUAAAGCUCUUUUGUCAGGGAAGAAACACCGGCUCUAACACAGUCCGGGAAUGACGGUACCUGAAGAAUAAGCACCGGCUAACUACGUGCCAGCAGCCGCCGUAA
rnacentral:rRNA from 1 species